UGCUUGUCCUUCUUCCUGUGCGAACCACAGCCAGUGGGAGCUGCAGGGGUAGCGCCUGCGGACAGGGCAGCAUGCAGCACCACCUGGCCGUGCCUCCCCAUAGGAGCCGGAAAAGGGACAUGCUGAUGCUUCUGUGAGCUGCUUGAGGCAAGUGCCGCCUGGAGCCUGCACCCAACCCUCUCCCCGUGCCCCAAUUCCCUGCCCCAGAUCUGAUCCCUC